AUGUUCGAGUCGGCUGGCUGCCUGCUAAUUCACUCAUGGAAAAAGCGACACGCGGGAGAGCGGCGGUCGGCAUCCCCGGCCCCUCGCGGGCUCGAGCCUCGCUGCUCCGCCGGCAGGGAGCCGCACCGGGAAGCCUUUCCGGAGGCGUGCGGGGUCGGUGCCGCGGUGUGGCCGUUUGCCGCUUGCCCCCGCGACGGCCGCCGACGGCCGCAGCCAGACCUUGCCCGGAGCCUUUCCGCUGGCCUCCACCCAGCGCCUCGCAGGCCGGGGGUGAGCAGACCGCAACGCCCCCAAAGCCCAAGUGCUUUUAUUGCCCGAGCUCCAUCCGGCAUCUUGUUCGUUGGCAAUAAUUUGGGGGGAAAAAAUGGCAAAAUCUGCCGUUUUGGUCGCUCCGUUGGAUCCCGUAAGCUGAGCAAAGAUGAGGUUCGYGCGGGAGAGCGUCGGAGGCCGGCGGCGCUGCUUGAUGCUCUUCAUCGCCCCUUUUCGCCGUCGCGGCCUGGUGGGGGCUGCCGGGUGCCCAGCGCGGUUCUGCCGGGGGGGUUUAACCCGAUGCCGCCAGACUGGGCAGCGAAGGCGUCRCUUCGCCCCCGGGGCGCCGGCUUGGAGGGACGCCGGCCGCUCGUGCCGCUGGGCGCGGGAGCCCGGUGCCAGCGUGGUGUUUUUGGAAGGGCUCCUCUGCCUUCCUGUCAAAUCAAUAUUUAUUCACAAAUCUAUUUGUUUGCUUUUGUCGCUGAAAACUCUUGUGGUUUUGUUUUUGGGUUUUGGUUUUUUUUUGCCUCGCUUUGUUCCCCUUGUGUAUUUUUGGCUGCGCGGCGCUGGCGAGAGGGGCCUGCUGCAGCUUUGCUGGCUCCAGUCGUUCCAGCUGCUGCUUUUCACCGAGAGCUCGGAGCCUCUUUCCGUCCCUUUCGCAAGGCUGGCCUCUCCCCCAGGACGGGCACGUCGUCCUCGCCGCUCCGGAGACGACGGCGGGAAGGCAUUGACCCCAGYGAACGCGCGCGGCGUUUUUCCCUGAUUGCAUCGCAGAUUGCGGCGAGACGGAUGGGCGCAGAGGAGACUCGCUGCGCCCUGAAACGCAGUGACGACACGGGUGCUCGCGUGGGCCUCCUGCGAAAUCCCCGUGCCGCUCUCCCCUUGCCGAUGUCCCGCAGCACCAGCGCUCCCGGUGAGGGCGGUGGCACGGCCCCGGACACGCGUGCGGAUCGGCUGCGGGAGCCGCCCGGCUCGCAGCUCGCCUCUCCCUCCAGUCGUACCAAAGUUUCCUGGUUGCCGCUAACUUUCCCUUCCGUUUAUUUUUCCAUUUUGCUGCGAGUGAAGCAAAUCCCGGCUCGAGCCGCCCCCUCCCUCUGCUCGGGGGAGCGUCCCCUGCUCCCGGAGCUGCCGGCCGGCGCGGGGGCCGACGGGGCGGCCGGAGGGCCCYGGAGCGGGGACGUUAUUUAUCUCCCCCCAGCCAAAUCACGCCGAGCUAAAUUGAGCUGUGGCAGGCAAAUGUGUGAAGCGUAUUAUUAG
rnacentral:lncRNA from 1 species